CAGCAGCCGCGGGAAUACGUAGGUGGCAAGCGUCGUCCGGAAUUAUUGGGCGUAAAGGGCUCGCAGGCGGUUUCUUAAGUCUGAUGUGAAAGCCCCCGGCUCAACCGGGGAGGGUCAUUGGAAACUGGGAAACUUGAGUGCAGAAGAGGAGAGUGGAAUUCCACGUGUAGCGGUGAAAUGCGUAGAGAUGUGGAGGAACACCAGUGGCGAAGGCGACUCUCUGGUCUGUAACUGACGCUGAGGAGCGAAAGCGUGGGGAGCAAACAGGAUUAGAUACCCCAGUAGUCCCUGUCUCUUAUAC
rnacentral:rRNA from 1 species